GAAGACCCAUCCCCCCCUUCCCCUUACACACACACACACACACGCACGCACGCACAUUCAACAGACACACACGUUUGGCAGGCACAGCCGGCGGCGGCAGCAGAAGUCACUCACUCACUCACUCACCCCCGCUCCGCUCUAAACUCGGAUUUGCCCUCCAGAGCGAGCUGCAGUUCUGUCGGAGUGGGAAGGGAAUUGCUGGGUUUGGUUUGGGUGUUUUUUUUUUUCCAAAUCAGGGCAGGCCACGGAGCUUUCAUCGAGGAAUACAAGUGCUUGAGCGCCGAUGGUUGGUUGAGUCAGAGCAAACGUGAAGGCAGGACACAACCCUCGGUGGAUGCUGCAGAGCCGCUGACUGUGCAAAAAUCCCAAACCAGUUCAGAUGUUGCUGUUUCCUCAGUUUGCAGGUCUAUGGAAAUGCAGGAUCUAGCCAGCCCGCAUAGCCGUCUUAGUGGUAGUAGCGAAUCCCCUAAUGGUCCCAAACUUGAUAAUUCUCACAUAAAUAAUAAUUCCAUGACACCUAAUGGCACAGAAGGUGACAUGACUCUGCUCAGCACUGCAGACUGGUUGUUAAAUACUAAUACACAGACCACUGCAGUUAAAACAGAGCCAAUGAGCAGCAGUGAGAUUGCUACUACUACAGCAGACGGGUCUUUAGACAGUUUCUCAGGAUCAGCAAUUGGAAGCAGUGGCUUCAGCCCAAGACAAACUCACCAGUUUUCCCCACCACAGAUAUACCCUUCCAACAGACCAUACCCACAUAUUCUUCCUACUCCUUCUUCACAAACUAUGGCUGCAUAUGGGCAGACUCAGUUUACUUCAGGGAUGCAGCAAGCCACAGCUUAUUCAACAUAUCCACAACCCGGCCAGCCAUAUGGAAUUCCAUCAUAUGGUGCAUUGUGGGCAGGCAUCAAGACAGAAGGUGGAUUGACACAAACACAGUCUCCUGGACAGACAGGCUUUCUAAGCUAUGGGGCUAGUUUUGGCACUCCCCAACCAGGACAAGCGCCAUACAGUUACCAGAUGCAAGGGAGCAGUUUCACAACAUCUUCUGGAAUGUAUGCUGGAAAUAAUUCACUCACAAAUUCUAGUGGAUUUAAUAGUUCACAGCAGGAAUAUCCAUCUUACCCCAGCUUUGGCCAGGGUCAGUAUGCACAGUAUUAUAACAGUUCUCCGUAUCCUUCACAUUAUAUGGCAAGCAGCAAUACUAGUCCAACAACCGCUUCCUCCAAUGCGACAUACCAGCUUCAAGAACCGCCAUCUGGCAUUGCAAGUCAAGCAGUUACAGAUCCUACAGCAGCAGAGUACAGUACAAUCCACAGUCCGACAACUCCCGUUAAAGAUUCAGAAGCAGACAGGUUGCGCCGCAGCUCAGAUGGCAAAUCACGUGGCCGAGGCAGAAGGAACAAUAAUCCUUCACCACCACCUGACUCUGACUUAGAGAGGGUAUUCAUUUGGGAUUUGGAUGAAACAAUCAUCAUUUUCCAUUCCUUGCUUACAGGAUCUUAUGCUAACAGAUAUGGGAGAGAUCCUCCUACAUCUGUUUCACUUGGAUUAAGAAUGGAGGAGAUGAUUUUCAACCUGGCAGAUACACAUUUAUUCUUCAAUGAUUUAGAAGAAUGUGACCAAGUUCACAUUGAUGAUGUUUCUUCAGAUGAUAAUGGCCAAGAUUUAAGCACCUAUAACUUCGGAACAGAUGGGUUCCCUGCAGCAGCCACCAGUGCUAAUUUAUGCCUAGCAACGGGUGUGCGUGGAGGAGUGGACUGGAUGAGAAAAUUGGCCUUCCGUUACAGACGCGUAAAAGAAAUCUUCAACACCUACAAAAAUAAUGUUGGAGGUCUUUUGGGUCCAGCAAAGAGGGAAGCUUGGUUGCAGCUCAGAGCAGAAAUUGAAGCCCUUACAGAUUCUUGGUUAACCCUUGCACUGAAGGCACUCACGCUAAUUCACUCUAGGACAAAUUGUGUGAAUAUUUUAGUGACGACUACUCAACUUAUUCCAGCUCUUGCAAAAGUUUUGCUAUAUGGUUUGGGUGUGGUAUUUCCAAUUGAAAAUAUUUACAGUGCAACUAAAAUAGGAAAAGAAAGCUGCUUUGAGCGCAUAAUUCAAAGAUUUGGAAGAAAAGUAGUAUAUGUUGUUAUAGGGGAUGGUGUGGAAGAAGAACAAGGAUCCAAGAAGUUUAUCCAUCUGGAUAAUACAGCCCAAGGAUCAUCUUUCCAGGGAUCAAAAGGGACUGCAGACAGGAAGAGGAACACUGGAAAUCACUAGUACAAAACAUCCUCUAGAGGCAUUGCUUUCAUGUAUUCGUUGUUGCCGGAAGGAAUUUCCAGUCUAGGACACAAGGAAACAGCCAGAUUUUUUGUCCUGGCAAAACUACAGUGAAAUCAAUGGAAUUAUAUCAACAAGGAAUUUGCAUGCCAUGCCAUUCUGGAGGAUCACAAGCCACUCUGACCUUAUGGCCCUUCAUCAUGCUUUGGAACUGGAGUACUUAUAGUAGCACUUUGUAACCCCAGAACUCUCCUCAUGCCUAUGGACAGUGUGCCUAUGUCUUGUAUCAGCGCUGGCCUUCAGGAGAACUUUUGUGAUUUCAUCAUGUUGACGUACAGCUGCAACUGGUCUUAACCUUUGCCCUUCCAGUAAGCAGAGGAGGAGCAUGUCUCUUUCUUCAGUAACAGCUGUUGAUUCUAGUGCUGUGAACCCAAUGAAAACAAACCAUGAUGAGAAUGUUUUAACAAUGUGUCCUUAUCACAUUUGCUACAUUGAAAGGUUCGUACCUGUGAAGAGACUGGGGGGAGGGGGGUGUUGAGGUUUCCAGAAUCUUCAGUGUGGCACACACACCUUCUUAACUUCAGCAAACUUGAUUGCACAUCAAAGACUGUGCUUUUAAAAAAACAAUCCCAUGGAAACAUUUCUUGGAAAAAAAGUUUACUUUUUUUUUUAGUUUCUCAGACCCAGGGUACUCUGUAAAUCUUAUUAUUUAUGAACAGAUUCUUUUUUGACAUCAUCACCUAAAUGUGGAUAUGUAUGAUAUAUGGAAGGCUAUACUGAAUCCUUGCCUUCUGAUAAUAAAAAAAUAUUGAUUGUAGCACAUGGCAAAGUAGUUUAAAGUAUGUCUAAUUUAAGCAAAUAGGUACAUCACUGAGACAAUCGUGUACAGGAAGAAUGUUUUUGUGUAAAUUUGUAAUGAAUGGCUAAUGUUUUACAUAUUGUUUAGGCAAAUGCUAUUGAAAGGUAGUAAUGACUUUCUGGUGAAGUAUGAGGCAGUGUGAGCACAAGUUGUUGUGCUGUGCCUUACUGAAAGUAUUGUGUAUAAAUAUGUAGAUAAUGGAAUUUUUUAAAGAUCAAUUUGUCAAGACCAAAAGCGUGGAUGUCAAGUGUCAAUAAGGAAUUGCUUUUUAUGCUGUUUGUUCUUUUCUCUUUUUUUCCACCUUGACAAUUCUACUAUACCAGAAUAACAAUUACUCCUUUCUCUCCUUACACCCUGCCCAUCACCAGGUUGCUUCCAAUUUACAUUUUGUACACAGACAUCCAAGUACAAAUAUGUACACUUCAUGUCAAGUUGAAAAUAGUGCAAAUAUUUAAUUUGUCACCUUUCUUGUUAAUAUAUAUUGAGUACAAUCUGUGCAGUGAGAAGUGAUCCCUAGAAUCUGCAUAUCUGAAAAGAGCAAUGCUCUGCUGUUUCGUUUCUUUACUGACAGAUAUUAAACAUGGUAGAAGUUAAUCAUCAGAAGUAUUCAUUUUUCCCUAAAGGGCAAAGGAUUGGAAAAAUUCAUUUUAUGCAGGAGACAUUUUAUGCAAUAUCUCUUGCCUUUUAAAAUAAUGUAACAAAGUGUUCAUGAACUGGAGAAAAUAAAAAUGAAAGCAAAUAAUGUAUUUUAAAGUUAAACAACUAGGGAUAGGUUGAAACAGUUCUAUUUAGCUCCAUCUGUUUUUUAAAUAAGAAAAUGUUUUGGCAAUUUUAGUCCUACUCUGCAAAUAAGCAGUGUUUUAAAUGUUUAUUUCUUUGCUAAAAUCUUAAAAACUGUUGAACUAUCACAGUUAAAUUUGUUAAAGGGAGAGGGAAUAUAGGUUUUGUGGUGAAUACCAAACCUACUGAAUGUGACCCUGGCAUAAAACAAAGAAAUAUUUGGGGGAAGGUAGAGGAUGAUUUUGAGUUUUAACUGCUGAAGUUCAAAGAACUCUUUGGCUCAUUCCGCACAUGCAGAAUAAUGCACUUUCAAACUGCUUUCAGUGCUCUUUAAAGCUGUUCGGAAUAGCAAAAUCCACUUGCAAACAGUUGUGAAAGUGGUUUGAAAACGCAUUAUUUUGCGUGUGCGGAAGGGGCCUUCUACGCUUACUGUGAGACCUUAGUGAAAACUGUGGUUUCAGUGCAACUGAAUCUACAAGACAACCCAAAAUUAAAUAAAUUGGUGUCAUACCUGCUUCUUCAGACUUUCAAGCUUUGAGAAAAUGUAAGCAAAACUGAAAUUUCUUUUUUAACCUACAGUCUGGUAUGAAAUUAGAAACUGAUAAAUAACCUGCAAUUUUAAACUUUUCACCACAGUAACAAGAUUUUCUAUUGGCCCGUUGCUGGCAGUGGGCACAGUAAAUUAAUUAUUGCCAAUUUUGUUAGACUGUGUUAAUGUUUGUAACCAGCUCAUACUGUAUUUGAACUGUACCUGUCUUCUGUCAAAUACAAAGACCAUGAAAAAUACAUUCUACUUUAGGCCAGUGUAGACUUAAUGGAGGGGAGCUGUUUCAACUGUGGUUGAUAUGUGCACCAUCCUUUCAGCUCAUCUCUAGAACAAGCUCCUACUCCCAUCUUAACUGUACUGAUGGCGUGCAUUGAUACAAUGACAGUUACAGGUUACCAGGUACAAGUUAUCUAAGAUUUAACUUAGAUUUUCUGCAGCAAAAUCAGAGGUAGAAAUUUGCAAAAGGGGAAUCUAUGGGGGAAGGGGGGAGCGAAUACACAGUCACACAGCCUCUUUCCAAUUUUAUAACCACAGCUGAGAAGCCCACUGUUAUAUCUGCACUGGAUUCAUCCAUCCAAAUUAUUGGUCUGAAGCUUGGUAUCUUCUUUUCACUAAUGUCUUCAUAAGAAAUAAACCUCAGUUUUUCAAUUUCUUUCUCCAAUUUCUUGAUUUUUGUGUUUGCAAAAUAUACCAGCUUUUAAGCCAGCUACUAGCAAAGCAACAACAGUAGCUAUGAGGCAACAUCCUCUCUUUACGAAGGAUGUGUAUUGCUGCUAGAGUUUCUAAUUAUUUUGUGAUUUUUUUUUCAGAUUGUUUGUCUAUCAAAUAUGGCCCCUUGUCUUCAUCAGCUGUAUUCACCUAGAGAAUCCAAUUCAGGGACUAUUCACAGUCUAUGAAGUUGAGCACAUAUGCAAGUUUUUAAGGACAGGGGCUGUAAUUAAAUUUCUUUCUUUUUUUGCUUCAAGCAAAAUGAUGAUGGACAAUUAUUUUUUCUUUGUUUUUUUGUUUUUUUGGUAGUCAUUUUGUGACUAAAAAGUUUGUCUGGGCCUUAUUGUACAAAAAAGAGUGUUGUGUCCGCAGUUCUGUACAGAAAUUUUUCUCCAUUCAUUUUGUGUCUAAAUUAAUAAAAUUGAUUUGUGACAUAUUAAAGACUUAUAUUCAGGAUGGAUUUGAUUUUCUCCAUCCAACCACCA